rnacentral:rRNA from 1 species
UACGUAGGGUGCGAGCGUUGUCCGGAAUUAUUGGGCGUAAAGAGCUCGUAGGCGGUUUGUCGCGUCGACUGUGAAAACCUGCAGCUUAACUGUGGGCUUGCGGUCGAUACGGGCAUCACUGGAGUUCGGCAGGGGAGACUGGAAUUCCUGGUGUAGCGGUGAAAUGCGCAGAUAUCAGGAGGAACACCGGUGGCGAAGGCGGGUCUCUGGGCCGAUACUGACGCUGAGGAGCGAAAGCGUGGGGAGCGAACAGG